GUAUGUGGAUGGUGUUCAGUACCAGGGACAGGUGUGUUCAUCUGUGUGUGGAUAGUGUUCAGCACCAAGGACAGGUGUGUUUAUCU
rnacentral:pre_miRNA from 1 species